rnacentral:rRNA from 1 species
UAGAUGCGAGAGUAGAGCAUAUCAAUAAGCGGAGGAAAAGAAACUAACAAGGAUUCCCUUAGUAACGGCGAGUGAAGCGGGAAGAGCUCAAAUUUGAAAUCUUCAAGGUUUUACCUUGACGAAUUGUAGUUUAAAGAAGUGUUUUCUGUUGAAGUUUUGGUAAAAGUUCUUUGGAAUAGGACAUCAUAGAGGGUGAGAAUCCCGUAUUUGACCAUUAUUUUCAGCUGUGUGAUACACUUUCAAAGAGUCGGAUUGUUUGGGAAUGCAGUCCAAAAUGGGUGGUAAAUUUCAUCUAAAGCUAAAUAUUGGCGAGAGACCGAUAGCGAACAAGUACCGUGAGGGAAAGAUGAAAAGAACUUUGAAAAGAGAGUUAAACAGUACGUGAAAUUGUCAAAAGGGAAGCGUUUGACACCAGUGUUGUUUUCUCGAAAAUCAAUUAAAAAAGGCCGGAUUUUGUGUUGUAUUGACCUUAAAAGCUUUCUUCACUCUUUUCUUGUCUUUUUUAACGCACUUUCCGUUUAACAAGUCAACAUCAGUUUCUUUUGUUGUAAAAGGGUCAUUGGAAGGUGGCUUUCUUUUCGGAGAAAGUGUUUAUAGCCUUUGAUCUCUGCAACCGGAGAGACUGAGGUCUGCAGCGUAGACUCUUCGGGGUUAGAUACAUUUGUGCUAAGCUAUAGCUUUUUAUAGACAACUUGUUGACUAUAUUUAGUCUUGUGGCUUACUCGCUUAUGCUAUUUUACCUACGCUUAGGAUGUUGACACACGCGCGUGCUCG